UCAGUCCCUCACAUUUCUCUCCCCGUUCCCCAUUCUCCCAUGGUGGCCACACCCCUCACUCCACAGCCGGCCCUCUUCGUCACCAACGCCGGCGCUCCCUGGUCUGGCCGCCGCUGACCUUCGUCACCACCGUCGGUGCUUCCUGGUCAGUUCGCGGCUCCCCUUCGCAGCAGCUGCUCUUCCUCCCCUUCAUGUGGAAUCGCUCGAGGAAGUGGCCGAGGAGGCCCUCGAGCUCGGCAUGCUCGCGCCAGCGUAGGCGCCGGCGGAGGUGGACGUGGAGGUGUGGCACUCACACGCGCCUGCUCUACCCUGCACCUUCUCCGAAUUCGUUCGCCGAAGUGCUCGAGAAGGCGCUUGAGGUCGGCAUGCUCACCGGCGACGCCGGGCCCCUCCCUCCUCCUGAUGCCCUCUCCGUCGCCGCCUUGAGCCUCUCCACCCUCUCCCGUGCGGUCGUCCGGGUCCAGAUUGCUGCACCUUCUGGUUGUGAGUGGAUCCAAGAGUCAGCAUGAUAUAGUAUCUUUUCAAAAGAUGAUAGAUUAUCUUCAUGAAAGAAAGGAAGUUGGAGAAUUAUCAUUGAAGAGGAAUUCAGUGUCAUGUGUUUCUCAAGAGCUAAAAUGGAACAAGAAGUGCAAAACUGGCAAUUCUUUUUGUAAUACUAUUAAGCUCGUCAUGGUGGUUACCAUGAGUGAGUGUCUGGUUUAAUCUCUACAAAAUUUCCCGAGGGAGGAAAAGGAGGUGCUGAAAGGGGAUGGGAGCAACAAGUAUAAAUCGAAGAGUGUUCUGCGACAACUCAAGUCACCUUCGUAAAUUCUAGAAGCCAACUGUUUUGACACCAGGCCAAGGAGAUAGAGUGCAUUAUUUAGUCAGUUACAAAAAUGCAGUAGCCAAAAACACUAACCAUUUUCCACAUAAAAAACCAUUAAUUACCGUUCCCUCUCCAUUUGCCUCUUCAGAUCCUUAGGGUCUACAUCUAUGAUACAUUCUAGUUAGUUUAGCAUCUCACCAGUUAUCUGAAUAAUACAUAAGCAUCCAGUACAAGGGCAUUUUUACCUUGGUACAUGGCAUCUCAUCAGUUAUCUGAAUAAUAAAUAAGCAUGCGGUACAAGGGCACUUUUACCUUGGGACAUGGCCAGGGGUGUAUGUGGUACAUUUUUCCUGUCAUUAAGAAGUGCUGUUGAAGCCUCUUUCUUCUCAUGGGCUUCACGACGUCUUUUAAGAAUAUCAUCUUUAUUGCGUGCAUAAUACUCUUUUUUCCUCUGCCUCUUCAAUUCUUCAAGGAAUGUUAUAAAUACAUACCGCAACUUAGCACAUAAGCAACAACAAAACAGUAGCGCAAAGUAGGAACUGGUUGAUGAUAGUUACCCAAUGUCUGGUUGUUGCUUAUAUCCUGAAAUGGGGUGCGCGCCCCUGCACUAUUGGGUGAUGUCAUACCUUCUCCUUCAUGUGAAUAUUCAUGCCAUUAAAUUUUGAGAAGCAUGGAAACUGUGGAAAUUAAUCAUGAACACCACCAUCAGAUGCAAACAUAGUACACUGUCCUUUCUCUUGAUAUUGUGUUUCAGCAGAGUUCUACUUUGACAUUAAAAUCAAUUUUGAAUGGCAGAUCCCCUUACUGGACCACAUUAAGUUGUUGGCCCUGCUAUUUAACGUCCAUGGUGAUGCUGAUGAUGAUCUUGGCAGGGGCAAUGCUUUGAUUUCAUAGACCUGUUGCUUUGAUAGCUAGAGAACUAAUUUCUCAAGAGGACUUGAUUUAGUGUUCUUAUGAUAUUUUUUAGCUGGCGCUGUUUUUUUUCAUGGAUUUUUUCUGUCCACUACAUCAUAAAUCUGGUAAUAUAAAAGUAAUAUCUAUUUUUGAUUAUGUAAUGACCGACUGUUAUCUUGCUUCUUACUCAUGUAUCUUCAGAUUUAUGUAUCUGCCUGGGGUCUUGGCAUGUCCUUGAGCACGCAUCAGGUGAAAGGAAGAAGUUGAACCUGAAGAAGGGCAGGGAAGAAUUAUAGCUUUGUGUGGCCGGCUGGUUCAGGGGACGUGCAGGGCGGGCGCGGCUCCGCGGGUGCCGAGGCAGGCUCCUGGGCAGUGGCUAUCUCGCGGAUGGGCCACACUGCAAGGGCAGGUUCGUGGGCGCCCGCUAUCUAGCUGACGGAUUACACGCUGUGAGCAGCAACAAUCGGCGGUGGCGAUCUUGCAGGGAGGCGACCGAGCUGUGCAGUGCCGCGAGGUAGCGAUGCGGGCAGGAGACCGGGUUGGUGGGAGGCACCCUAAUCAAGGGCGAGGGAAGCUAAUUUAGUUGAGUUUCCUUAUUAGUUUGCAAUCACAAUUGCGUGAUUGUAGGGGACGUGGGCUGGUACUUGGAAUAUUCCUCCGAUGGUGGAGUACGGUCAGUCAUAGGAAUUUGCUAAGUGCACACCGUAGAGGUAUUAGAUCAAUGAUGGCUGUUAGAUUAGGACAUGUGGGACUAAUUGUGUGGUGUUGAUUGGUUCGUAUGUUUUGUGGUACUAAUUUUUGGGUGCACAUAAGAAAGUUCUUGUUUGAUUGUUUAAUAGUAGUGGAGAUGAUUGAGUUAUCUUUGCAAA